rnacentral:lncRNA from 1 species
UCCCCUAUAUUAGUUUUCAAUAAAACAUUCUUAGAAAAGUAUUUUCACAAUAUUUUUCGGUAAUAUCAGUAGAUGCGAUGCGAACCACUCUUUUUCUAUCCAUAUCGGCAUUUCGUAUGGAGGUUAUUAUCUCAACAAUAGUGUCCCUAUUCAUAGUGAACUAAAAUUAUGGGUGCCCCUCAACAUGUUUUUCCUUUUUUUUUUUUUUUUU